UUGGAAACUGAUUUAUUUGAGUGCGAUAGAGGCAAGUGGAACUCCAUGUGUAGCGGUGAAAUGCGUAGAUAUGUGGAAGACCACCAGUGGCGAAAGCGGCUUGCUAGAUCGUAACUGACGUUGAGGCUCGAAAGUAUGGGUAGCAAACGGGAUUAGAUACCCCGGUAGUCCAUACCGUAAACGAUGGGUGCUAGUUGUUAAGAGGUUUCCGCCUCCUAGUGACGUAGCAAACGCAUUAAGCACCCCGCCUGAGGAGUACGGCCGCAAGGCUAAAACUUAAAGGAAUUGACGGGGACCCGCACAAGCGG
rnacentral:rRNA from 1 species